GACAGCUUCAGUUAGAAAAAGUCCCCGUGAAGAGCUUGAUUGGUUGGCUUUGGUCAUGUGCCCAUGUUUGAGCCGAUCACCACUGUCUGGGUCAUGGGGCACCGUGAUUGGCUCAGCCAGAGUCACAUGACUGCCUCUGUGGCCCCAGAGGGCAGGGUAAGUCAUGAAAAACUCUCAACCAGGAUUAUGUGAUUAAUCCUGAGAGCACUAUUGCUAUUUUGUAAUAUGUGCAGUUUGCCAGAAACAAAGCAAAUGGAGUCUUAGCUCAUUUGGCUGAAAUAGUCUUGCACUGCUCAAAAGUAGGCAAAGUAGGAAAGGGCUAAAAGGGAGAAGUGUAAUUCUCAGAAGGAGCUGAAACUCCUGUCAUGCUGAAAUGCAAAUUGGAUAAAUAUCAAUUUUAAACCGAGUGUGAUUACGUCUUUUAGUUCUCAUCCACAUGAGCGUGGGCUUCAUGAUCCUGGCCCUGACCCUGUGUCUCGUCCUCCUCCUGGCCAUGGGCUUCUCCUUCCGGCCAGUGUUCCGCCGCCUUAACAAGGCUGACCUCAUCUUCAGUUCCCUCAGCUUUUGCAUCGUGCAGGGCUCCUGGUUGCCCUCAGCCUGACGCUCUUUGUGGCCAACUGCGAGACGCUCCAACCGAGGCCACAGCAGAGCACCCUGAAGUCCAUGUCCGAACAGCAGCAGUCAGACCCAGACUCCAGGCGCACCGAGGAAGAGCCCAGCUCACUUCCUCCCCAAGAACCCCCGUCUAAGCCUCUCUAAGCAAUUGCACCCGAGCUUCUCAGGACACUGACGCCUAACCGCCGCCAGGUGUCGGGCCCACCCAUUUCGUCUUGGCCACGCGCCCGAGAUUAGACUU
rnacentral:lncRNA from 1 species